rnacentral:rRNA from 1 species
AUUGAACGCUGGCGGCAGGCCUAACACAUGCAAGUCGAACGGUAACAGAAAGCAGCUUGCUGCUUUGCUGACGAGUGGCGGACGGGUGAGUAAUGUCUGGGAAACUGCCUGAUGGAGGGGGAUAACUACUGGAAACGGUAGCUAAUACCGCAUAACGUCGCAAGACCAAAGAGGGGGACCUUCGGGCCUCUUGCCAUCGGAUGUGCCCAGAUGGGAUUAGCUAGUAGGUGGGGUAACGGCUCACCUAGGCGACGAUCCCUAGCUGGUCUGAGAGGAUGACCAGCCACACUGGAACUGAGACACGGUCCAGACUCCUACGGGAGGCAGCAGUGGGGAAUAUUGCACAAUGGGCGCAAGCCUGAUGCAGCCAUGCCGCGUGUAUGAAGAAGGCCUUCGGGUUGUAAAGUACUUUUAGCGGGGAGGAAGGGAGUAAAGUUAAUACCUUUGCUCAUUGACGUUACCCGCAGAAGAAGCACCGGCUAACUCCGUG